UACAGAGGUCUCAAGCGUUGCUCGGAUUCAUUGGGCGUAAAGGGUGCGUAGGUGGCGCCGUAAGUCAGGUGUGAAAUCUCGGGGCUCAACCCCGAAACUGCACUUGAUACUGCGGUGCUCGAGUACUGGAGAGGAGAUUGGAAUUUACGGUGUAGCAGUGAAAUGCGUAGAUAUCGUAAGGAAGACCAGUGGCGAAGGCGAAUCUCUGGACAGUUACUGACACUGAGGCACGAAGGCCAGGGGAGCAAACGGG
rnacentral:rRNA from 1 species